UACGAAGGGGGCGAGCGUUGUUCGGAAUCACUGGGCGUAAAGGGCGCGUAGGCGGCCCUCCUAGUCGCGUGUGAAAGCCCCGGGCUCAACCUGGGAACGGCGCGCGAAACGGGGGGGCUGGAGUUCGGGAGAGGGGCGUGGAAUUCCCAGUGUAGAGGUGAAAUUCGUAGAUAUUGGGAAGAACACCGGUGGCGAAGGCAGCUCUCUGGGACGGUACUGACGCUGAGGUGCGAAAGCGUGGGGAGCAAACAGG
rnacentral:rRNA from 1 species